GAUGAACGCUGACAGAAUGCUUAACACAUGCAAGUCUUUGGCGAAGCUGUGCUUGCACAGCCUAGCCAAGGCGGACGGGUGAGUAACGCGUAAGGAACUUGCCCUGCAGUCAGGGAUAACAGACGGAAACGACUGAUAAGACCUGGUAAAGUCAGGCGGACUCAUGUCCAGCCUGAUGAAAAGAGAUGCUGCAGGAGAGCCUUGCGUCCUAUUAGCUUGUUGGGGGGUAACGGCCCACCAAGGCGAUGAUAGGUAGCCGGCCUGAGAGGGUGGACGGCCACAAGGGGACUGAGAUACGGCCCUUACUCCUACGGGAGGCAGCAGUGGGGAAUAUUGGACAAUGGGGGCAACCCUGAUCCAGCAAUUCUGUGUGCACGAUGAAGGUUUUCGGAUUGUAAAGUGCUUUCAGCAGGGAAGAAAAAAAUGACGGUACCUGCAGAAGAAGCGACGGCUAAAUACGUG
rnacentral:rRNA from 1 species